GUCCAUGUUCAUCCAGAGUCAGCAAUGGCUAUCCCCUAUCAACUUGCAGCACAGAAGAAUUUAAAAUCUUCCAAUUGAUGUGUAAUAUUCUUAUGUGCAUGGGUAUCAAGUUAACAGGAAAUAUAUGUGCCAUUUAGCCUACUGCAAAUAUGAGUUUUUUCCAACUAUUUUCUCAUUGUAAUUUAACUUUAAUAAAUUUCAAUGAAUUUUUACUUGAUCUGUUAAUAGACAAUAGUCAAAGAUAAGACCACUAAGUUAC
rnacentral:lncRNA from 1 species